rnacentral:rRNA from 1 species
UAGGGAAUAUUAGUAAUGGGCGAAAGCCUGAACUAGCAACGCCGCGUGUGCGAAGAAGGCCUUCGGGUUGUAAAGCACUUUUUGAGAGGAUGAGGAAGGACGGUACUCUCAGAAUAAGUCUCGGCUAACUACGUGCCAGCAGCCGCGGUAACACGUAGGAGGCGAACGUUAUCCGGAUUUACUGGGCGUAAAGCGCGUGUAGGUGGUUUGGUAAGUAGGGCGUGAAAGCUCCUGGCUCAACUGGGAGAGGCCGUUCUAAACUGCCGAACUGGAGGAUGGUAGAGGGAGGGGGAAGUACGGGUGUAGCGGUGGAUUGCGCAGAUAUCCGGAGGAA